GCCGCAGCUCAAGGAUCCGACUUCGUGGGGGGGGGGGGGCACCCUCUGGCAGGCGGCCCGGCGAGCCGCACGGAGCACGGCGAGCGCACGGCGGCCCGCGCCCUUAACCCUUGGGUGCGCGCAGCCCCGGCAGGCGGGGAGGCCAGCGCCGCGCCCCGAGAGUGGAUCGGGGAUCGGGACCGACCGGGGAGCCAGGAGCAGAAGGGGGGACGCAGACCCUGGUCAGAGGAAGGGGGCUGCUCCUUCCAGGUUUGAGAGGGGCGGGGAGUUGGAGCGAUGAGGUAAUUGGAGCGGUGACCGGCCGGUGCUUGCGCGCUUCCCAGCUCUCUGCGCCUAGUCGGAGCUAACAGAGUGACAGUGGGGUGCAACUCAGGCAAUCUGGGGGACUCCCCCCUCCCCCAGGGUAUCAAGCUUCAGCUCCGAGCCGGUGAAAUACCCACUGGGGCGGGGGAAGCCGGCUAAUUCUAAUCCCAACUGGCCUUGAGCCCGGGGCGCUCCGAGAAGCGCCUACGCGUGCUCACUCUGGUCAUCCGCUGCACUUUCACCCUCCAACCCCGUCGUUUCGGCGUUUGGGAACCCAGACCUGGAGCCACGGGGCUGCCUUGGCGUGCAACUCGGGAAAGUUUUAAGAGUCCCCGCGACGGCACUUGCAUCCUCACCUUUCCCACCCGCGAGAGCUGGUGACCACCCGCCUUCCCUUCUAUUUCUGCACUUCCGGAAAUCUGCUUUGGGAAUUGAACUACUCCGCUGUGGCCGUGAUAGACGACCCGCAGGCUCCUCUCGCGGCUAAUUCGGGAUCAUUAAUUUAAUCGGAAGUGAGGUAACCGGUGUAGGAGAUAGAGAAAGUAAACGGAGCGUUAAAUAGCAGUUCUUAUGAAUCCACACCGAAGAACUUCCUCUGGUCUUAAUUGCUAAGUGCGGUCCUCGGCUCCCCCGCCCCGUCCUCUCCGCCCGUCCACCGCUCGGGUGAGCUCCACGUACAGGGAUCUUUGCAGAGGUGCACCUUGCCAACAGGUGUGGCACCUGGAGGAAGAAGGCGCGUCCCUAGGGCCGCUCACUGAGGCGCUGUCCUUGCCGCAGAUAAUUCUGGAAGGCCAGUAGGUGUCGGGGUAGCGUUUGACCUGCUUCAGGUGCUUGAAACUGGGUCUAGACAUCUGAUCCCUCCGUUUCUCCCUGGAAGCCACCGCUAUUGACUGUAAGCUGUAUUUGAGAGACCUUUUGGCUGAGUUUGCUUAUGACCUAACGGUUAGUCACCAACUGAAGCAGGAUACAGAAUCACCCAGAGAAAUGUGUCAGCUUUUAAACAACUCUGGACUGUAGAGCCAACGCGCUUCAAAAAUAAAAAUAAGCACACUCACGAAGAAGAGUCCUCUGGGAUCAGAAUCCAAGAGAAGGGUCUGAAAGUCACCUGGCCACAUGAAAAGUGGAAGACACUACAAGUUUUUCACAGUUUCCUUACACUUUAUAUGUAAGGGAAAUGAUCCUAGAAGCUGAAAGAGUUCCAGAGUUCAGCAGUCUGAGAAAUUUGAAGAAAAAAAAAAAAAAAGCAAGCCCUACAUUUCAGAGAUGUGAAGAGAGACCAGCUCUCUGAAGUUGGAAGGAAGUGAGAAGACCCUAUUUGCGGCUGCAGGAAAGGAAAAGAAAAGAUCCCUGCAAGGAAACUACCAACAGAUGAUCUGAAGACUUCCAGGAAAUGUCACAAACGCCUUGUGGCAGACCACACGCCUUCAUUUCACCUUUCUCAUAUUUUUAGUUUUGUCCCAAUGAAGUUCCCGUACAAUACCACGGGAGUUCCAGUACCAACAAAAGGAACAAAAAUGAACCUAGAUUGGUGAAUGCUUUGCUCAUCUGAGAUGACACUGGACCCUGGGCACUGGAGUAAUGAGGCUCCCAGUUCCAUCACUGUCUCUCAGUGCAUCAGCAAAAAGAAGAACAUGCUGGCGAAUCCAACUAGAUACAGA